UUUAACUCUCUUUCUGGGAGGCUUUCCAGUCGCUUGCAAGGCUAAUAGUGAAAGUUUUUCUUUCUGCUAUCACCUCUCUAGUUCUUUCUUGGUCACUGAAUGUUCCUUUAUGCAGCGUCUUGUUCUCAUUUUAGAGAUACAACGUCUCUUAUUGCUCUUAGGGUUUUUGUUGUCUUAUGUUUUCCUCCUCCCUGCAUUGGCCCUGUUUUCCAGGAGCUCUUUUUCUCUGCUGGUGUUGAUCUCUGAUUUUCCUUGUACAAGCCUGCCUCCAGUGUCCAGUGAUCCUCGUCUUGUGAGUUCACACUGAAGAUCAGGAAACUGAAAACAGACCAUCAGAAGCUUGCUGACUAUGGACAGGGCGUGUGGAUAGGGCGUAUUUGGGAUCCCAGUGACUGGUUCACCAUCCUUGCAACAAGCAGAUCAUCUUAGAGUCUCAUAAAGGAAUCUGGGAAGAUGGGGGAAAAGGAUGGAGCUGAGGCCAGAGCUCUGUGGCACAGUUCUGAAGACCUGUUGGCCACUUGGUUUUUUUCCUGUCUGUAAAGAAGGAGCAAAACCUCAGUGGACCCUUGAGAGCGUCCAGUGAGAUGUGCCUCAGAAGGACAACAUGGGUCGCCUUCUGGGCUCCAGCUGGACCUCAGCUUCCUUACUGAUAAAACAGCACAAAAAAGUUAAGAACCACCAUGAACAAGGAGGUGUGAAAGUGUCUGCAUUCCAGCUUUCCUUGAGGGCAGAUGUCAGCCGGAGAGGGGAGCACCCUGGGCCCCAGAUCCUGGCAAAACUAGUCUUGCUUCUUCCAGUCGGAGAGUUGUUCGGCCUCUUCUUAGGAUGAGUGGUUCCAUUUCACCCACUCACCCUUUGUUCCAGGCAAACCUGACCCCUGACCCUCACUGCUCUUCAAACUCUGAUUACCCAAGACUCUCUGGGGUUGCCAGUGACAGAAGCAUAACUCAGACAAGCAUAAGCAGAAAGGGAGCCUUGUGGCGUGUGUCACAGGUCAGCCCAGGGGUGGGUUUCAGGUCUGGCUGGAUGUAGGGGCUCCCACGAUGCAUCGGGGCUCCGUCUUGUGCAUCUUCUCUUCCACUCUUUCGACCCAGCAGGCACGAUGGCUACCAGCGGGCCUCCGUUUAGAGGAAAGAG